GACAACAUUGCGUAAUGUCACAAAAUGAUGAAAAGUACCUUCGAAUCACUCUAUCUCACCUUGAUAUUCUUGGAUUCGUUCCCUGAGAUGCUUACAGAAAUUGCUUGGACUGCUUGUUGACUCAAUCAAAGAGUCGUUAUUUGGACACCACAACGACAGAUGGUAACCAGGACAUUGCGGAGGUUUGGGUGGAGUGACAGUUAUUGGCAACAACGUUAGCAAUGACAGGGCUUGCACUCAAAACUCAAUGGGUGAAAACACAAAUUUAGUCAGAAAUCGAAUCUUUUAACUUGACUUUUACAAGGUAUGACUCAAACAAAUCGCUUUGGAAUCAUGAUGGAAUUAGCUUUACACACAUUUUAACAGCAAAUCGUUUGGAGAAUCUGAUACUAUCACUGCUUCACUUACAGUCUCUUUGCUGUGGCAGAGAGUGGUUCUGAGACUGCAACUGCUGGAUCACUCACAUCAUUUUCACAUCGAGGUCGAGUUUCCUGCUUCGAGAGAGAUGAAAGUAUCACUUUGUGGAAAUAUCACCACUUCAAACUGCCCACAGAAGGUUCCUCCUGAUGACUCCAUCUUUCUCUUUUUGGAUUCCUCCUGAUACUUCAGUGCUGUACUUGGUCAGUUAUUUGAUUGGCCUUCAGGUGAGAAUCACAUUAGCCCAAUGUAUUCAUCUUGUGCAGUAUUGACAUCG
rnacentral:lncRNA from 1 species